AAAAUCAUAUUUUUACAUUUAAUAUAUUUUUUAAUUCUAAAAUACAUAGUGACAAGAAUCUGAAGAUAAUUGAAACAACUAAGCAAGCAAAGAAGCUAAUCAGUAUAUAAAAAAUUAAUAAAUAAAUUAUGAAGUGAUGAAAGUUAAUAAAAAAUUUGAUUAAGGUGGACAAAUUUUAUUAUGAUGGGUGACAAUGGUUACAAGGACCCAAAUUUAUUUUUUAAAAUUUAACUCGAAC
rnacentral:lncRNA from 1 species